GUUUUACGUAUGCAACGACGAACGAAACCUUAACCUGGUCUUGACAUCCCGGAGACCCUUAGGAAACUAGGGGGUGCUUCCAUCUGGAAGAAUCUGGAGACAGGUGCUGCAUGGCUGUCGUCAGCUCGUGUCGUGAGAUGUUGGGUUAAGUCCCGCAACGAGCGCAACCCUUGCCUUUAGUUGCCAGCAGUUCGGCUGGGCACUCUAAAGGGACUGCCGGUGUUAAACCGGAGGAAGGUGGGGAUGACGUCAAGUCCUCAUGGCCUUUAUGACCAGGGCUACACACGUACUACAAUGGUCGGUACAAAGGGUUGCCAAGCCGCGAGGUGGAGCUAAUCCCAUAAAACCGAUCGUAGUCCGGAUCGCAGUCUGCAACUCGACUGCGUGAAGUCGGAAUCGCUAGUAAUCGUGAAUCAGAAUGUCACGGUGAAUACGUUCCCGGGCCUU
rnacentral:rRNA from 1 species